AUUGACCGCUGGCGGCAGGCCUAACACAUGCAAGUCGCGCGAGCGGCGGACGGGCGAGCAAUGUAUGGGGACUGCCCGAUAGAGGGGGAUAACUACUGGAAACGGUAGCUAAUACCGCAUACUAUCGGAUAACCCAUAUGGGAUUAGCUAGUAGGUGAGGUAAUGGCUCACCUAGGCGACGAUCCCUAGCUGGUCUGAGAGGAUGAUCAGCCCCACUGGGACUGAGACACGGCCCAGACUCCUACGGAGGCAGCAGUGGUGAGUAUUGCACAAUGGGCGCAAGCCUGAUGCAGCCAUGCCGCGUGUAUGAAGGAGGCCCUGGAGUUGUAGAGUGCUUUCAUUCGGAGGGCGUUACCGACAGAAGAAGCACCGGCAAACACCGUGCCAGCAGCCGCGGUAAUUC
rnacentral:rRNA from 1 species